UAUUGGUAAUAGACAACCUUCUUAAGUGUAGGUGCUGUAAAUUUUCAUACUCAACAUUAUGCUUAUUGGUGAAAUAAUACAAUGUAUGUAUUUUUUAAAUAUUUUUAUGUUUAGACUCAGAAGCCGAGUGGGAAAGUUUAAACCAAGACUGGCUCACACUUGCUAAGUUCCGUUCAGAAGUCAUGAAAAAAAAAGAAGACCUUCUUGCUCUGCUGAGAUGAAUUUCUACAAAAAUUUUGUUAACACCUGUUGUGACUUUUGUCAUUUAAAAGAAAGUCAGUGAGCGUAAUAUUUAGACGAACUUUCGUCAUUCAGAAAUAGAGAUAUAUUAGAUGACAUAUUUGAUCUCUUGGUUGUAAAUAAAUAUUUUUUAAACAACAUGAUAUGCGCCGUUGUGUAGAGUUAAAUGAAUAAUCUUUCCCACCUUUUUUAUACUGUUUUAUAGAACUCGUAUUUUAUAAAACUCAAAGAUUUCUUCUGCUCGAAACUGUUCUGUAAUUUAGCAUGAAUGCGUAACUUUACAACAAAAGAAUUUUUUCUUAAUUUGCACGACGGCGAGAUAGAAAUCAGCACUCAUGCAAAUUAGUUUCAUGAACGCCUGCGUUACCUUACUGUUUUCGGAUGAUAUUAAUAUCAGCGCUGAUGUUGGACUAAGACAGAGAGACUGGGACGCAGUCAGAAUGACGUCAUUCUAUGCUCAGAGCAUAUCCACAUCAAAAUGUUUGUCUUGAUGGACAGUUAGAUCUCUGAUUCGAUGCUGUGAAUUAAUUAGCAUUAAAAUCGCAAUACCAUGGCGUCAGAAAAUAAAAAUAAUUAAUAUACUCAUUAAUAAACUUUCCUGAUCUUA